rnacentral:rRNA from 1 species
UGGGCCUACGGGGGGCAGCAGUGAGGAAUAUUGGUCAAUGGGCUUACGCCUGAACCAGCCAAGUCGCGUGAGGGAUGACGGCCCUACGGGUUGUAAACCUCUUUUGUCGGGGAGCAAGACCCGCCUCGUGCAGGCGGAGCGAGAGUACCCGAAGAAAAAGCAUCGGCUAACUCCGUGCCAGCAGCCGCGGUAAUACGGAGGAUGCGAGCGUUAUCCGGAUUUAUUGGGUUUAAAGGGUGCGCAGGCGGACCAUCAAGUCAGCGGUAAAAUCGUGGGGCCCAACCCCAUCCCGCCGU